rnacentral:rRNA from 1 species
GACGAACGCUGGCGGCGUGCUUAACACAUGCAAGUCGAACGGAAAGGCCCUGCUUUUGUGGGGUGCUCGAGUGGCGAACGGGUGAGUAACACGUGAGUAACCUGCCCUUGACUUUGGGAUAACUUCAGGAAACUGGGGCUAAUACCGGAUAGGAGCUCCUGCUCCUGGGUGGGGGUUGGAAGGUUUCGGCGGUUGGGGAUGGACUCGCGGCUUAUCAGCUUGUUGGUGGGGUAGUGGCUUACCAAGGCUUUGACGGGUAGCCGGCCUGAGAGGGUGACCGGCCACAUUGGGACUGAGAUACGGCCCAGACUCCUACGGGAGGCAGCAGUGGGGAAUAUUGCACAAUGGGCGGAAGCCUGAUGCAGCAACGCCGCGUGCGGGAUGACGGCCUUCGGGUUGUAAACCGCUUUCGCCUGUGACGAAGCGUGAGUGACGGUAAUGGGUAAAGAAGCACCGGCUAACUACGUG